GAUGAACGCUGGCGGCGUGCCUAAUACAUGCAAGUCGAGCGAACAGACGAGGAGCUUGCUCCUCUGACGUUAGCGGCGGACGGGUGAGUAACACGCGGAUAACCUACCUAUAAGACUGGGAUAACUUCGGGAAACCGGAGCUAAUACCGGAUAAUAUAUUGAACCGCAUGGUUCAAUAGUGAAAGACGGUUUUGCUGUCACUUAUAGAUGGAUCCGCGCCGCAUUAGCUAGUUGGUAAGGUAACGGCUUACCAAGGCAACGAUGCGUAGCCGACCUGAGAGGGUGAUCGGCCACACUGGAACUGAGACACGGUCCAGACUCCUACGGGAGGCAGCAGUAGGGAAUCUUCCGCAAUGGGCGAAAGCCUGACGGAGCAACGCCGCGUGAGUGAUGAAGGUCUUCGGAUCGUAAACUCUGUUAUUAGGGAAGAACAAAUGUGUAAGUAACUAUGCACGUCUUGACGGUACCUAAUCAGAAAGCCACGGCUAACUACGUG
rnacentral:rRNA from 1 species